rnacentral:rRNA from 1 species
UACGUAGGGGGCAAGCGUUGUCCGGAUUUACUGGGCGUAAAGAGCGCGUAGGCGGAAGUUUAAGCGUAGCCUGAAAGCCCCCGGCUCAACCGGGGAGAGUGGCCGCGAACUGGACUUCUUGAGGGCGAUAGAGGAGAGCGGAAUUCCUGGUGUAGCGGUGAAAUGCGUAGAGAUCAGGAGGAACACCCGUGGCGAAGGCGGCUCUCUGGGACGGUACUGACGCUGAGACGCGAAAGCGUGGGGAGCGAACAGG